AAUUUCUUAAGAAUAUCCCAACGUCACGCGGGGUAUGGGCUUGGGAGAGCUCGCGCCUAAUCAUUGGGCCUUAGGCCCGUCUUUUAGGCAAUACCCCUAAACCUGUUCCCUCCCCCCGAGGGUAGGUCGCGACAGCUUGGCGACUCCGCUGGGGACUUGGUUUUAAACCUUAGAGGACUUAGGCCAAAAUUAAUUUUGUUCAAAAAUAUUUUUGUUUGGCAGCGAGGAUUUCAGGUACGCCCCUAACAUGAAAGGUGUUAAAUGUUUUUGCAGAAUGGGAGGUAUAAGGGGAAGUGUUUGCUCACCUUUGUCUUGCAGGGAGGUGUAGGAAUGUAUGGUUUAUUUUU
rnacentral:lncRNA from 1 species